GACGAACGCCGGCGGCGUGCUUAACACAUGCACGUCGAACGGAAAGGCCCUGCUUUUGUGGGGUGCUCGAGUGGCGAACGGGUGAGUAACACGUGAGUAACCUGCCCUUGACUUUGGGAUAACUUCAGGAAACUGGGGCUAAUACCGGAUAGGAGCUCCUGCUGCAUGGUGGGGGUUGGAAAGUUUCGGCGGUUGGGGAUGGACUCGCGGCUUAUCAGCUUGUUGGUGGGGUAGUGGCUUACCAAGGCUUUGACGGGUAGCCGGCCUGAGAGGGUGACCGGCCACAUUGGGACUGAGAUACGGCCCAGACUCCUACGGGAGGCAGCAGUGGGGAAUAUUGCACAAUGGGCGGAAGCCUGAUGCAGCAACGCCGCGUGCGGGAUGACGGCCUUCGGGUUGUAAACCGCUUUCGCCUGUGACGAAGCGUGAGUGACGGUAAUGGGUAAAGAAGCACCGGCUAACUACGUG
rnacentral:rRNA from 1 species